GGCGGACGGGUGAGUAAUGUCUGGGAAACUGCCUGAUGGAGGGGGAUAACUACUGGAAACGGUAGCUAAUACCGCAUAACGUCGAAAGACCAAAGAGGGGGACCUUCGGGCCUCUUGCCAUCGGAUGUGCCCCAGAUGGGAUUAGCUUGUUGGUGGGGUAAUGGCUCACCAAGGCGACGAUCCCUAGCUGGUCUGAGAGGAUGACCAGCCACACUGGAACUGAGACACGGUCCAGACUCCUACGGGAGGCAGCAUG
rnacentral:rRNA from 1 species